CAAGCCGGCGAUGAUGCUCGAGAAUGAAUGCUAUCAACAUAAUUCAACGGAAAAGGCUGAACGCCGAUUCGCAGGCGUCGCGACGAAUCGGGAUCGAUGGAAACGGGAAAUCGGCUCGGCCGCGAGGCUUUCAGCAAGUCGACCCGCAUCCUCUUUUUUCCCUCAAGGCGAUUCCCGGUCGUCUACUUACCAAGACACGUCUUUCUACGCAGCUAGCCUAAGUCCGAGUGGCCGGCGCGUCGCCUCUUUCCAUCCUGUUCAUAGGGAUUUCGCUUUUUACUCGAUCGACAGACUCGUCAUUUGUAGCAAUUUCUCUUCUUCUCGGGAUUCGAGCACUUCCUUGUAAGUGUAACACACCCUCGAUCGCUUCUCUAUCCAUUUCAAAUGGAUACAUUCUGAUUCAUAAGUAGACUACGGAUAUUUACGCUAUGUAUUAUAGAAUACAUGCAAUAUGCAACAAGACGUAAAAUGUCCAAAAUAGAAUAUUUAGCAGAUAAAAUAAUUGUCCAUUUAGAUUCAAUUCUUUUUUUUCAUCUAUUCAUAAGUUACUACAUGAUUGUUAAUUUUAAUCAUAACGUUUAUGGAAGUUUGUAAUAAGUUUCUUAAAGCGUGUUAUGUAAUUUAGUUAUGUUUAUGUAAGUAUCAAUUUUAUUACUGCUUAACUGCUUCGGUUAUUUAUUCUUAUUUUAAAUGUCUUAUGGAUAGAUAUCGUCUGAUUCAGCAGCCUUCAAAAUGAGGGUUGAAAAAUCUACUUUACCUAAGUAUCUUAAAAACUAGUGAACACAUAGGAAGAUUGUUAAAUACAUACAGAAGUUUUCGUUUGUUUCUUUUUAUGGAGUAUACCAUUACACGAGUGAAAUCACAAAAAUCCUCUGAUUUUUAUUUUGAAAUUUCUUGGUUGCAGCAGAUUUUCUCAUCAGAGAUUCGUCACUCCCUUUUAUUUAUUCGUUUGGAAUAUUCCUUGGCAGUUUUAUGUUACAUCGAAUCACAAACAUAAAUUUGUUUUUCAAGAGUUUACCGAAUUACUAUAUACAAUUUAAAAAAAAAAAGAAAUUUUAUUCCGUGGGAUCAGAGGAAAAUAUUUAAUUGAAUAAUCGAUUACUUCCCUGGAUAUUUUCCAAGAGAGGUAAGGCAGCAGAGUUCUGUGUGUCAUCGUAUACAUACGAUGCAUACCAGAUUUCGUUCUUGCGGCGGCAGGUAGAUAACUCGCCACAGGGUCGACGGAAACGGGAAAUUGCACCACAGCUCCAUAUUCGAAGCAUCCCUCCUUUUUCUCACAGUCGCGCCGUCCUGCGCAGUUUUCUUCGUAGCCUGCCGUCGCUAUCUCGAAACAUGUGGAAAUUAGAUACUCGGCGUUAGAUUGUAUGCAAUCGAACCAGUGACAUCUAUUCGGCAGCUUUCUGGGCAACAAUCGAAGUCCUUAUACAUUUUGAUAUCCUUACAAUGAUAAAAACAACUCCAUAAAUGGAACGUCGCGUCGUCUCAAUCGUCUGGAUCAUCGUAAUAAGUACGAGUUAUGUUUAAAAGACGAAGUUGGUAUUCUGAUUAGGUUUAUUGUCAUUUUAAGUAGAAACGAAAUUUAUCACAAAAGAUGUUUUCUCAUCGUAUUAGUGUAUAAGAAAAUUUCCCUAGUUUUUUUAAAACAUUUUGUAUUAUAGCAAAAUCAUUCCUUUUUCUUUAUUGUUACAAGCUCGUUUAUUCCUUUACGAUAUCUUCUGAAGAAAGUAAGCUUCAUUUUUGAGAACAUGACAGUAGCGAGUGUUAUAAUAUUCUAAACAUAUUUUUUGCAAAGACCAAUUUUUCAAAGGUCAUUAGGAACAUGUCGAUCACUAUAUAUAUAUUUUGUCAUCUAGAAAAAAAGUAGGACAACUUUUCAAACAUUUUACUACCGUUGACUCAACUUUGAAUAUCGUUAUAUAAUUUUUGAAAUUCCACGUAUUCGAAAGUGGACAGAACUUUUCUAAAUAGUCGAAUAGUCGAAAUACGAAUAAUCGGAGCCAUGAAAUUUCGCGUGUUUUAUGAAAGAAUCGAAAGAAUUGAAAAUAUUCGCGUUGCGUUGAAAAAGUCAACGAAUGCUGAUUAGGAAACCAUAUUGUGGUUUCCUGUCCGAAAAUACGCAUGACUACAUUCCGAUAACCGUUAAUGACGGUGCAUUUAUGAUAGAUAGCGUUUCUUCUACGUCUUUGACGUCUGCUGACACAAAAAGUUGAGAAGAUUACAAGGGAGUUACACGUGUACUUGACGUCGCGUAAUAGGACACUUUUGCUUCUACCGAUAGCAGUGCCACUUUCAUAUCAAGUUUUCGAUGAAUCGAUAUUGCGCUAUCUAUCGUCGACUAUAAUUUAAAAAAUCGAAUAGUAUUUGCAUAAUGAUCUUGGAAGAAAAAUGACACGUUCGAUUGACUCCUCUAGUUGAUGUGACUUCAUUUGUAUUUUAACAGAUGGCAUUCAAUAUCGCUGAUUAUAAUUCAAACUUGAUAAAGUCAUGUUCUAUAGUUGAAUCUGGAUUAUUAUUAGAAGACCGAUUAAUAGAACGAUCGAUCAAUGAAUUUCUAAGAAUGACUGCUUGUAAGAAAAGCUUAAGUAGAAAAGUUGACACAGCGUUACGAUAGCAAAUGGAUAAGGCUCGUUUUACUCUCUCGAAAGGAAUUUUUCGUAUACAGUGUCGAUAGUGACGACUAUACGUUAGCCUGGAUUGAUUUACCGCAGUUUGAAAAAAUAGGUCAAAUGAAUUAUUUCAAGACGUAUCGUUCCAUUAGUCUCGAAAGGACUAACUAGCUAUCAAAGAAUCGUAAGAUAAGCGGCUAAGCAGACACCAGAAGUAUCAUGGAUGAAAUGGUAACAUAUUUCGAGCGUGGACAAAGAUUUUCGUUCCGGUAAAGCGAUUCAAUGACUGGAAAAUAAUUUUUAGUCACUUCCAUUAGCUUUCAUGAGCCGGCGCGUGACCAUGACCUCGACGAUCAAGCGUCUAGCACUUCUAAACCGAGUUCACCUAGCUUUCAAUCACUUUUUUCCGAUGCUGUAUCGGUUCUGGCUCAACGUCUAUGCUUUAGUAACAACCAGAAAACUCUUCAUAUCCAUAGAAGCCGGAAAAACCAAUUCUAUAUUGCUUUUUUUCCCUUAGAAAUAAUUUCUUCGAGAUUGACACUCUUCCGACGAUCGUUCGGCCUUCGUCGAAAGAUGAUUAGCGAGCGGAAUAACGGCGAAAGAUUCGAACCGGCUGUUGAAUUAUUGAAGCAUCCAAAGAGGGAGAAAGAGAACUAAGAGGAUUAAAAGCCUAGAGACAUAUUAGAAUUUCAAGAGGCGAGUCGAUAAAAAUAUUCAACCGUGGUUAAAUUUACUUUUCGAUGGGUAUCGUUGCGACCUUGAUUUCGAAGAUCUCGUUGACGAUCCCAUCCCAUCUUCCGGCGAUUUCCUCUCGUCUGAUGAUCGAGGAUUAAUUCAAAAUGUGGCGACGAAUAUUAUUGAAUUUUGUUAAAAAUUUUAAAGCAGAAGAAUCCUAUCGUUUAAUCGAAUUAAUCUUUUGUUAAACGUAUAACGCUUUCCUGAUCUUUAAUUCGUAUUUGAAAUACUUGGCAACGUCCACUGUCAAACAAGAAAUUACAAGUUAUAGUAUCGGUUAAUAUUUCGUAAAAAUUCGCUAAUUUCACAAGUGAUCCAUAUAAACGUAUCUGGUCAGGUCCAGUAACUGUACCAACAGUGAUUCCACGUACGUCUUAUUCUUUGCCUUUGAUCUAUUUUGUUACUAUUCUUGUUUUACUUUUGUUUCAUCCAAUUUUAGAAGUCCACAACAUCGCAUCCUUAAGGAUCUAUGAAGCUGUAAAAAUUAACGUAUUUGUUAAUUUAUUAAGAUAUUUGGGUUUCAGUAUGCAUGUUUAUCAGUACAUUGCGCUUGAAAAAGGUUUUCAUUUCCAAGGUUCCCCCGGAUACUGGCCUGGACGUGGAAAAAAACACAUCAGCGAUCAGCUGACAUCGAAACGGCAUUUUAAAAGGCAAGUUGGGCAUCCACGCGAUCGAUGGAUCCUUUCUCUAUGGUCUCUUUAAAUAGACGAAUUGCCAAUAGUCUAGGAAUCGUUCACGGCCGAUAACGGAUUCAAAGCGUAUUCAAAUACGAUUCCGCCUCCUCCAUCCUAGACGCGUGAACCUUAAUUCUCAAGGCAGAAGCAGCCGACCACCCACUGCUAUUUUGCUUUUCAAAAAUGUACACGAUGAGCUGAGCGAGACAAAGACAGGUCAGCCAUGAUGGAGGAAGAAAACGGAAGCCGUCAAUUACAUAAUGCAUUCGAAUCGUGAUCCAUACGAGUUGCUCGAUCCGUCUCGAUCUCUGGCUGUUGGUACACAAAACGGGGAUCUCGGGGAGCGUGAUGGGCGAUCCUCGAGGUCAUGGUCAGGUCGUGUCUCGCAGACGUCAAAUUUAGUCGCUUCUAAAAUACAUUAAUCUUAAAUCUCUUCCUUAGGAAUUUUUUGGAAAUUAUACAAUCUUUCAGAGUUAUGCAUUGUAAAAAAUUUAUCAAAGAGAUUUGAUGAUGAUUUGAUGAGAAAUGAUAUAUUAUAAUACACAGGUUCGCGGCAGUAUUUCACACCUUUUAUGAAUAUAUUAUGCGAGUUAUACCGAGUAUUUUGAAAUUUCAUUAUCACUAUAAAACGAGACUGCAUUGUCCUGGUACAGAAUAGGAAGUAUCGGCACACUCAUAACAUUCAUGUACUAAUUAAUUAUGUAUAUUAAUAUACACAUGGUAUCUCGUAUGAUUAUAAAAAUUUGAUCAAAAAAUGAGAUACAUAGAACCUGAUAAAAAGAGCAUUUUGUUGGGAAAUAAUUGUUAAAUAUAAUCUGCGGUAUCAGUUUAACGAGUACAGUUAAUUAGUGUUUUUAACCGACAAGUGUAAAUGAUGGCGACACAAAAUAUUUAUUUCGUGGUAACGAAAAUGAAUUUUCUAUGUAAAAUGAUUCCUAUUUUUGGUUUUGCAACGGGGAAAAAAGUGAAGUAAUUCCACCUGAAUGUCUGUUGACGCGCAAGGUGGCACGAGCAAGGGAAGCCGACGCUUCCUUUCGCAUCGAUCUGAUGCAACAAAGUUUUACGAUCGUAUAACUGAGUAAUCGAAAAGCUCGAAGGCAUCCACGUGUACCGAAGACAACUAUAUUGACGAUUGGUCGCAAGGUGAAGCGAGCAUGACGAAAAACACAAUUAGCAAGUAUAAUCAGUCGUCAGCUGACCUAUGACAAUCUAACCCUGUCAUCAUUUUAAGGGCAUGGAGCAAUUUAGUAUAAACUGUGAAAAACACGUGUUAAAUCAUAAUCAAGCCGAAACGAUCAGCAAGUCUAAUAAACUAUCCGACGACCUAUGACAACGUGUCACCUAAGACAAAAUUCGUCAACUUUGUAGGCCAAGGAAAAUUUCUGUCGAAAUGUUUCAGUCACCGCCUACCGAUUAUGCAAUGAGAUCUAUCAAUUUAUUGAUUUUCUAGGAUUACUAACGAAAGAAGAGCUUCGUUUCACCUGAAAACUACCGCGUACAAGACACGCAAAUGAUUAUUCAAAAUUCAAAAUUCGAUCGAAAUGUUGCGCCUUAUAAUUUACCAAUCAUCUAAGAGGAUCUAUAUAUUUAUCGAUUUUUUAGGAUUAGCAAUAAAAGAAGUGCGUCAGAUUGUUUGGAAAUUAUUGUGAGCACAGAAAGAUAAUUAUGCAUUCAAAAGUUAAUUGAAAUUUAUUUCGAAUCAUCGUCGAUCUAUUUAAGAGAAUUCAUAAUUUCUAUCGAUUCUCUAGUGAUUAGUGAUACGAUACUAGAAGCUACAAAGGAGCGUUGUAUAGAAAUAAAAAUUGCGCUGAAUGUAGAAAGGUAGUUGUAUAUGCGAUGUACCACAGACUGGCCGAUCGACUAAUCGACAGGAUGUCAGGUUGGAGCCACUUCCACUUCCACGCAACAUGGAGUAACUUUGUAACGGAAUGCGAGUUACGGAAAGAAGUUACUCGGCCAUUACGAUGCGCAGUAGGAAGAAAAACGGUAGCGAUCGAGCGUGAUCGGAAAGUCAAUCGAAAGGAGGAAUCGGUCUUCUUCGUUGUUGCAUAAUGUUGAGGCACUGGACGAGAUACGGAGGAGAUAAUUUGAUGAAUGAAUUCGAUAUAAGAAGUCGAGAAUAAUCGAUGAUAUACAAAUUACCUAAACGAAGAUACAAUUCGUCCGAUAUAUUCUCCAAUUGAAAAACAACAAAAUUUCAAUAUUUAAUAAUGUCAAGAUUAAUCAGGACAUAUUAUUAGCGUUUAAUAUGAAAACGAGUGAUAAUCUAUUUACCUCAAUGGUGAAAGGAGAAAACAAAAAAAUUAUGAUUAUUUCUGGCAAUAUACGUAACAUAUAUCGAUUAAUGGCAAAUAAUAGUUUUGUUGAUAGUGCACAUUUUUAUUAACAUUAGUUUAAUCCAAGGAUAAACCCAUUUAUUGUAGCUAAUUACUAAUUACAUAUUCUGUUUUCAAUUCAUUGAUUUCGUUCUCGAAUAACGAUACAAAGAUUAAUUUAUUUCUUUGAUUAACUGUAACCAGCCACACAUAGGCAUUCGACGUAGACAAUCUUUACAUAAUUAUAAUUUUCGCCCAACACAAUGUCUCGAAUUGAUUGUAUCGCGAACUAUGAAUAUUUGAAAUUCACUUUGUACCGUCGUAAGACUUUAUCGAAAGGGAAGGUACACGAGUAUAGAAAGAAAAAGUAGCGGGAAAAGUUCUGUACGUGAUGCUUUCAUGAGAAGCAUCAAUGUUCCCCUUAUCAUUGGAAAAUUCAUAAAUAAUUGAUACGAAAGGAAGAGGCGACGAUGUUGCAGCGCGUCCCCGAGACUUGCAAUUCGUUUAUUGUUCUGUGCGUGAUGCUUUUAUGAGAAGAAUCAAUGUUCUCCUUAUCGUUGGAAAAUUCAUAAAUAAUUGAUACGAAACGAAGAGGAGACGAUGUUGCAGCGCGUCCCCGAGACUUCAACUCGUUUAUUGUUCUAUGUGUGAUGCUUUUAUGAGAAGAAUCAAUGUUCUCCUUAUCGUUGGAAAAUUCAUAAAUAAUUGAUACGAAACGAAGAGGCGGCGAAGUUGUAGCGCGUCCCCGAGACUUCCGAUUCGUUUAUUGUUUAUAGAUUUUCCCUGAUUCCACCGCGAUAUAGGCAACCAUAAAUUGCAUCGGCUACGAGUUUUCCAUAAAUUUGAAUAACAUUUUCACUUCCUGCGGUAUCGCGUGGACCCCCACCUAACUUAGUUGACGACAAUGCGAACAACGAUAAGACUAUCACGGUGACCUCGCCCUUAGAAGGAAGGAUUCUGAAUUUUAUUUGACCGAAUCCCGCAUAUCAUUAUCGUUCUCGUAUCUAUUAUUUGUUGCCUUUUCCUAUCCGUUAUUGCUAUCUUCUCCGUUUCUUUUUAUUCCAAUCUGUUCUAAAUUGACCAAUUGAUUUUAAUCAUUUUGUCAUCCACCGAUGACAGUUCUUCCAUUUUUACUCUUAUCCUUACUUUUUCGUUUUUAGAUACGCAUUAGGUUGUAUAAGAUCUAAUUAAUCAACGACGCACAGUAGAUACCGCACAUAUCUUUAUUUCUCAAUAAAACGUAUUUUUGCCAGAUUCUACAUUCCCUUUUCGCACGUGAUACCAAAUUUUUAUCCUCGUGUAGAAGUAUUAACAAAUGGUGUGAAAUUUAUGAUACUUUGCUCUAGUUUAAUAAUAUACAUUGCAACAUUUUUUACAAAUAUUUUUCGUAUGUAUUAUUUUGUUAUAUCGCCCUCCGUAAAUGAAUGAAGUAACUUGUAUGUAUACCCAUCGCUUCAAACCUUUUGUCCUUUAGAAAAUAUAAUUAUUACUGUAAAAAAAUGACUGUAAAAAAUGAAUUACUUGAAAAAAAUGUUGUAAAUAUCGAAAUAAUUAAUAUGCCGGUAUUAA